AUUGAACGCUGGCGGCAGGCCUAACACAUGCAAGUCGAGCGGCAGCGGAAAGUAGCUUGCUACUUUGCCGGCGAGCGGCGGACGGGUGAGUAAUGUCUGGGAAACUGCCUGAUGGAGGGGGAUAACUACUGGAAACGGUAGCUAAUACCGCAUAACGUCGCAAGACCAAAGAGGGGGACCUUCGGGCAUCUUGCCAUCAGAUGUGCACAGAUGGGAUUAGCUAGUAGGUGGGGUAACGGCUCACCUAGGCGACGAUCCCUAGCUGGUCUGAGAGGCUGACCAGCCACACUGGAACUGAGACACGGUCCAGACUCCUACUGGAGGCAGCAGUGGGGAAUAUUGCACAAUGGGCGCAAGCCUGAUGCAGCCAUGCCGCGUGUAUGAAGAAGGCCUUCGGGUUGUAAAGUACUUUCAGCGGGGAGGAAGGUGUUGUGGUUAAUAACCACAGCAAUUGACGUUACCCGCAGAAGAAGCACCGGCUAACUCCGUGCCAGCCGCCGCGGUAA
rnacentral:rRNA from 1 species